ensembl:snoRNA U3 Small nucleolar RNA U3
GAGAGGCAGAAGCACAUUCUCUCCUGAAUGUGAAGCUGGCUCUUGACGUUUCUUUCCUGCAAAUGUCAUUCGCAAUUGAUGAUCAUGCUCCUCUUCCUUUGGGAGAAUAAGGAGAUGAAGAGUGCUAUCUGA